UACGUGGGGGGCUAGCGUUGUCCGGAAUCAUUGGGCGUAAAGCGCGCGUAGGCGGCCAGAUAAGUCCGGUGUGAAAGCCACAGGCUCAACCUGUGAAUGCCGCUGGAAACUGUCUGGCUAGAGUCCGGGAGGGGCGAGUGGAAUUCCUGGUGUAGCGGUGAAAUGCGCAGAUAUCAGGAGGAACACCAAUGGCGAAGGCGGCUCGCUGGAACGGAACUGACGCUGAGGCGCGAAAGCGUGGGGAGCGAACAGG
rnacentral:rRNA from 1 species